rnacentral:rRNA from 1 species
AAGAACCCCGGGAGGGGAGUGAAAAAGAACAUGAAACCGUGAGCUUACAAGCAGUGGGAGUCCGAUUAAACGGAUGACCGCGUGCCUGUUGAAGAAUGAGCCGGCGACUUAUAGGUACUGGUAGGUUAAAGCGGGAAUGCUGGAGCCAAAGGGAAACCGAGUCUGAAAAGGGCGCUAAUCAGUAUUUAUAGACCCGAACCCUGGUGAUCUAACCAUGGCCAGGAUGAAGCUUGGGUAAAACCAAGUGGAGGUCCGAACCGACCGAUGUUGAAAAAUCGGCGGAUGAGCGGUGGUUAGGGGUGAAAUGCCAAUCGAACCAGGAGCUAGCUGGUUCUCCCCGAAAUGUGUU